rnacentral:rRNA from 1 species
GACGAACGCUGGCGGCGUGCCUAAUACAUGCAAGUAGAACGCUGAAGGAGGAGCUUGCUUCUCCGGAUGAGUUGCGAACGGGUGAGUAACGCGUAGGUAACCUGCCUGGUAGCGGGGGAUAACUAUUGGAAACGAUAGCUAAUACCGCAUAAGAGUAGAUGUCGCAUGACAUUUGCUUAAAAGGUGCAACUGCACCACUACCAGAUGGACCUGCGUUGUAUUAGCUAGUUGGUGAGGUAACGGCUCACCAAGGCAACGAUACAUAGCCGACCUGAGAGGGUGAUCGGCCACACUGGGACUGAGACACGGCCCAGACUCCUACGGGAGGCAGCAGUAGGGAAUCUUCGGCAAUAGACGGAAGUCUGACCGAGCAACGCCGCGUGAGUGAAGAAGGUUUUCGGAUCGUAAAGCUCGGUUGUAAGAGAAGAACGAGUGUGAGAGUGGAAAGUUCACACUGUGACGGUAUCUUACCAGAAAGGGACGGCUAACUACGUG